rnacentral:rRNA from 1 species
GAUGAACGCUGGCGGCGUGCCUAAUACAUGCAAGUCGAGCGAACGGACGAGAAGCUUGCUUCUCUGAUGUUAGCGGCGGACGGGUGAGUAACACGUGGAUAACCUACCUAUAAGACUGGGAUAACUUCGGGAAACCGGAGCUAAUACCGGAUAAUAUUUUGAACCGCAUGGUUCAAAAGUGAAAGACGGUCUUGCUGUCACUUAUAGAUGGAUCCGCGCUGCAUUAGCUAGUUGGUAAGGUAACGGCUUACCAAGGCAACGAUGCAUAGCCGACCUGAGAGGGUGAUCGGCCACACUGGAACUGAGACACGGUCCAGACUCCUACGGGAGGCAGCAGUAGGGAAUCUUCCGCAAUGGGCGAAAGCCUGACGGAGCAACGCCGCGUGAGUGAUGAAGGUCUUCGGAUCGUAAAACUCUGUUAUUAGGGAAGAACAUAUGUGUAAGUAACUGUGCACAUCUUGACGGUACCUAAUCAGAAAGCCACGGCUAACUACGUGCCAGCAGCCGCGGUAAUACGUAGGUGGCAAGCGUUAUCCGGAAUUAUUGGGCGUAAAGCGCGCAUAGGCGGUUUUUUAAGUCUGAUGUGAAAGCCCACGGCUCAACCGUGGAGGGUCAUUGGAAACUGGAAAACUUGAGUGCAGAAGAGGAAAGUGGAAUUCCAUGUGUAGCGGUGAAAUGCGCAGAGAUAUGGAGGAACACCAGUGGCGAAGGCGACUUUCUGGUCUGUAACUGACGCUGAUGUGCGAAAGCGUGGGGAUCAAACAGGAUUAGAUACCCUGGUAGUCCACGCCGUAAACGAUGAGUGCUAAGUGUUAGGGGGUUUCCGCCCCUUAGUGCUGCAGCUAACGCAUUAAGCACUCCGCCUGGGGAGUACGACCGCAAGGUUGAAACUCAAAGGAAUUGACGGGGACCCGCACAAGCGGUGGAGCAUGUGGUUUAAUUCGAAGCAACGCGAAGAACCUUACCAAAUCUUGACAUCCUUUGACAACUCUAGAGAUAGAGCUUUCCCCUUCGGGGGACAAAGUGACAGGUGGUGCAUGGUUGUCGUCAGCUCGUGUCGUGAGAUGUUGGGUUAAGUCCCGCAACGAGCGCAACCCUUAAGCUUAGUUGCCAUCAUUAAGUUGGGCACUCUAAGUUGACUGCCGGUGACAAACCGGAGGAAGGUGGGGAUGACGUCAAAUCAUCAUGCCCCUUAUGAUUUGGGCUACACACGUGCUACAAUGGACAAUACAAAGGGCAGCGAAACCGUGAGGUCAAGCAAAUCCCAUAAAGUUGUUCUCAGUUCGGAUUGUAGUCUGCAACUCGACUACAUGAAGCUGGAAUCGCUAGUAAUCGUAGAUCAGCAUGCUACGGUGAAUACGUUCCCGGGUCU